AUUGAACGCUGGCGGCAGGCCUAACACAUGCAAGUCGAACGAGUGGCGGACGGGUGAGUAAUGUCUGGGAAACUGCCUGCUGGAGGGGGUUAACUACUGGCAACGGUAGCUAAUACCGCAUACCAUCAGAUGUGCCCAGAUGGGAUUAGCUGGUUGGUGGGGUAACGGCUCACCAAGGCGCCGAUCCCUAGCUGGUCUGAGAGGAUGACCAGCAACACUGGAACUGAGACACGGUCCAGACUCCUACGGGGGGCAGCAGGGGGAAAUAUUGAACAAUGGGCGCAAGCCUGAUGCAGCCAUGCCGGGUGUAUGAAGCAGGCCUUCGGGUUGUAAAGUACUUUAAGCGGGGAGGCGUUACCCGCAGAGGAAGCACCGGCGAACUCCGUGCCAGCAGCCGCGGUAAUUC
rnacentral:rRNA from 1 species